GUGGGAAAUGGCGGGUGGACGUCAGCGCAAACGGAAACUGACUCCGUGUCAGGUGGAUGGCAACAGCUGGGCUGGGAAUGGUCAGGAGAUGGAGGAAGGAAGUGACGUAGUAAGUGAGACAGGAGAGGUGGGGAGCAUUGGAGAGUUGGAAGACAGCGAGGAUAAAAGUAAAAAGAAAAAGAAUAAUACAACUGAUUGUGGUGAAAGUGCAUCUUUAAAGUAUGGUGGGGAACAAUAUAAGGUAUUUGUUAAGUUGGGGCAAGAAGGUACCACGUUCAGAGAGUGGAAUCCGAUACAACUUACAAAAGGUCUAAGUAAAGAAAUUGGAGAGAUCCAAUAUCUCCUGAUUCACACUCCAGCCCAGUCGGUGGCGGUAAUGCACCGUUAAGUUGGUUUGCCAACCGCCAUAAAAAACAAAAGAAGAAGAAGAAGAAGAACAGCCGCGUUGCGCGUCUCAGUCUCUCAAAAACCAAACCAGUUCGCUCUCAAGAGUAGGCUAAUAAUCAACUUCGAUACAGAUACAUUUUCCACUUGCCCUACAUGUUUGCAGCUUUAACUUUUGCUGGUUUGCGUGGUACAUGCACAUUUAUUUAGUGAGGUGCACAAAAAGCCUCGCUUGAGUUCUGCGUAAUGAAAAUAUGCGCAUUGAAUUAAUUCAGUCGAGUCCAAAUGAUCACUAAACGUUUGUCAUGACAUCUUUCUGCUUGCAUGAUAAAUAUAUUUAGAAAUGAAUAAUUAUUUCAGUUUAACACGGCAUACUAUGUGUCACGGCAUACUUGUUCAGUGAUAACUUGUUCAGUGAUAACUAUGAUAAAAGAUAGUCGAUCUUAUGAAGUAACUGUACGACGUUCCACCCGGUUUUAACCGGAUGCAGAUACGAAUAAUUUUGUGAUUGUCACAGAUAAAAAUACAGAUACAAAUACUGGCUGUUACAUGAAAAUUUAAAUAUGUAAUGUCAUAAUUAUAAAGUUUUGACAAUUUACAUAUGUAAUUUUUGCAUUGAUCUAUGAAUUAAUAAGCGUUUAUUGAUAAGAACUAUUUCUUGUCUUUUCAUUCA